rnacentral:rRNA from 1 species
CAGUAGCCGCGGGAAUACGAAGGGGGCUAGCGUUGUUCGGAAUUACUGGGCGUAAAGCGCACGUAGGCGGAUAUUUAAGUCAGGGGUGAAAUCCCGCAGCUCAACUGCGGAACUGCCUUUGAUACUGGGUAUCUUGAGUAUGGAAGAGGUUAGUGGAAUUGCGAGUGUAGAGGUGAAAUUCGUAGAUAUUCGCAGGAACACCAGUGGCGAAGGCGGCUAACUGGUCCAUAACUGACGCUGAGGUGCGAAAGCGUGGGGAGCAAACAGGAUUAGAUACCCACGUAGUCCCUGUCUCUUAUAC